rnacentral:rRNA from 1 species
ACACAUGCAGUCGAGGGGUAACAGAUCUUCGGAUGCUGACGACCGGCGAACGGGUGAGUAACACGUAUGCAACUUACCCAUAACUCGGGAAUAGCCCAAAGAAAUUUGGAUUAAUACCCAAUAAUACAGGCGUACCGCAUGGUAUUCUUCGUUAAAGAAUAAUCGGUUAUGGAUAGGCAUGCGUUCUAUUAGGUAGUUGGUGAGGUAACGGCUCACCAAGCCGACGAUGGAUAGGGGAACUGAGAGGUUGUCCCCCCACACUGGUACUGAGACACGGACCAGACUCCUACGGGAGGCAGCAGUGAGGAAUAUUGGUCAAUGGACGAAAGUCUGAACCAGCCAAAUCGCGUGAAGGAAGAAGGUAUUAUGUAUCGUAAACUUCUUUUGUAAGAGAGUAAAGUGCACUACGUGUAGUGUAUUGCAAGUACCUUACGAAUAAGCAUCGGCUAAUUCCGUGCCAGCAGCCGCGGUAAUACGGAAGAUGCAAGUGUUAUCCGGAUUUAUUGGGUUUAAAGGGUGCGUAGGUGGUCUAAUAAGUCAGUGGUGAAAUCUCUUUGCUUAACAAGGAAAUUGCCAUUGAAACUGUUAGACUUGAGAAUGGACGAGGUAGGCGGAAUUCGUAGUGUAGCGGUGAAAUGCAUAGAUAUUACGAAGAACUCCAAUAGUGUAGACUGCUUACCAGACCAUAUCUGACACUAAAGCACGAAAGUGUGGGUAUCAAACAGGAUUAGAUACCCUGGUAGUCCACACAGUAAACGAUGAAUACUAACUGUUUGCGAUAUACAGCAAGUGGUCGAGCGAAAGCGUUAAGUAUUCCACCUGGGAAGUAUGCCGGCACGGUGAAACUCAAGGAAUUGACGGGGCCCGCACAAGCGAGACAUGUGGUUUAAUUCGAUAUACGCGAGAACUUACCCGGGCUCGACGAUAUUUGAUACAUCCGAAAGAUGUAGC